GGUGGGAUGGCAGAGUGGACUAUUGCGCCUGCCUUGAAAGCAGGUGCCUUCGGCCUCCUGGGUUCGAAUCCCAGUCCCACCG
rnacentral:tRNA from 1 species